GAUGAAGAACGUAGUGAAAUGCGAUAAGUAAUGUGAAUUGCAGAAUUCAGUGAAUCAUCGAAUCUUUGAACGCACAUUGCGCCCCGUGGUAUUCCGCGGGGCAUGCCUGUUCGAGCGUCAUUACACCACUCAAGCCUCGCUUGGUAUUGGGCGACGCGGUACGCCGCGCGCCUCAAAUCUUCCGGCUGGUUCGAAUCGUCCCUCAGCGUUGUGGAAACUAUUCGCUAAAGGUGCGCGUUUCGGUCACGCCGUUAAACAAGCCAAUUUCAUUAAAGGUUGACCUCGGAUCAGGUAGGGAUACCCGCUGAACUUAAGCAUAUCAAUAAGCGGAGGA
rnacentral:misc_RNA from 1 species